rnacentral:rRNA from 1 species
UACGUAGGGGGCAAGCGUUGUUCGGAAUUACUGGGCGUAAAGGGCGCGUAGGCGGCAUGGCAAGUCAGGUGUGAAAGGCCUGGGCUCAACCGAGGAACUGCUUUUGAUACUGCCAAGCUAGAGUGCGGAAGGGGCAACUGGAAUUCCCAGUGUAGCGGUGAAAUGCGUAGAUAUUGGGAAGAACACCUGAGGCGAAGGCGGGUUGCUGGGCCGACACUGACGCUGAGGCGCGAAAGCCAGGGGAGCAAACGGG